GAUGAACGCUGGCGGCGUGCCUAACACAUGCAAGUCGAGCGAUCUUCUUCGGAAGAGAGCGGCGGACGGGUGAGUAACGCGUGGGUAACCUGCCCUGUACACACGGAUAACAUACCGAAAGGUAUGCUAAUACGAGAUAAUAUGCUUUUAUCGCAUGGUAGAAGUAUCAAAGCUCCGGCGGUACAGGAUGGACCCGCGUCUGAUUAGCUAGUUGGUAAGGUAAUGGCUUACCAAGGCGACGAUCAGCAGCCGACCUGAGAGGGUGAUCGGCCACAUUGGAACUGAGACACGGUCCAAACUCCUACGGGAGGCAGCAGUGGGGAAUAUUGCACAAUGGGCGAAAGCCUGAUGCAGCAACGCCGCGCGAGCGAUGAAGGCCUUCGGGUCGUAAAGCUCUGUCCUCAAGGAAGAUAAUGACGGUACUUGAGGAGGAAGCCCCGGCUAACUACGUGCCAGCCGCCGCGGUAA
rnacentral:rRNA from 1 species